rnacentral:rRNA from 1 species
UACGUAGGGGGCAAGCGUUUGUCCGGAUUUAUUGGGCGUAAAGAGCUCGUAGGUGGUUCGGUAAGUCGGAUGUGAAAUCUCCAGGCUCAACCUGGAGGGGUCAUUCGAUACUGCCGUGACUAGAGUUCGGUAGGGGAGUGUGGAAUUCCUGGUGGAGCGGUGAAAUGCGCAGAUAUCAGGAGGAACACCCGUAGCGAAGGCGGCACUCUGGGCCGAUACUGACACUGAGGAGCGAAAGCGUGGGGAGCGAACAGGAUUAGAU